rnacentral:lncRNA from 1 species
CAGAUGCACAUAAGAUAGCUGGGCCAUUAGUGUUGCUGCAGUUUUGGGUGUGGGAGCAUUUAUACAUCGGAUAGCCAGAUAGAGUACUCCCCAAUGUAGAAGCCCAUUAGUCGGCGAUGGGAGGUGAUGUAGUAGAACAUAGCCUGUUAGAUGAGAAUGAUGCUGAUUUCGAGGGCUCAUUUGGCGGUAUACAAUAUGACCAGACUGAUCCACUGGAAUGUAGGUAUGUAAUCAAUAUCA